ACAAUAAAUAACAAUGCAGGGCUCUUUCGGGUCUUGUCUUGGAAUGAGUACAAUUUAAAUCCCUUAACGAGGAUCAAUUGGAGGGCAAGUCUGGUGCCAGCAGCCGCGGUAAUUCCAGCUCCAAUAGCGUAUAUUAAAGUUGUUGCAGUUAAAAAGCUCGUAGUUGGAUUUCUGGUGGGAGCACGGGUCGGCCCUCACGGGUUGUACUGUUGUUGCGUCCCGCCGUUUCGGAGGGAAUGGUCUCGCUAUUAAGUUAGCGUGAUCGGGAACUCUGUCGUUUACUGUGAAAAAAUUAGAGUGUUCAAAGCAGGCCUUCGCUGUGAAUACAUUAGCAUGGAAUAAUAAGAUAGGACUGUAGUGCUAUUUUGUUGGUUUGCGUACUAUGGUAAUGAUUAAUAGGGAUAGUUGGGGGUAUUCAUAUUCAAUUGUCAGAGGUGAAAUUCUUGGAUUUAUGGAAGAUGAACUACUGCGAAAGCAUUUACCUAGGAUGUCUUCAUUAAUCAAGAACCAAAGUUAGGGGAUCGAAUAUGAUUGGAUACC
rnacentral:rRNA from 1 species